UACGGAGGGUGCAAGCGUUAUCCGGAUUUACUGGGUUUAAAGCGUGCGCAGGCGGUUUUGUAAGUCUGUCGUGAAAUCCCCGGGCUCAACCUGGGAAUUGCGAUGGAGACUGCAAGGCUAGAAUCUGGCAGAGGGGGGUAGAAUUCCACGUGUAGCAGUGAAAUGCGUAGAGAUGUGGAGGAACACCGAUGGCGAAGGCAGCCCCCUGGGUCAAGAUUGACGCUCAUGCACGAAAGCGUGGGGAGCAAACAGG
rnacentral:rRNA from 1 species